AGUUCAUUUUGAAAUUAUGUAUAUUUUGAAGAAAUUGAUGAUGACAUCAGAUGAAAGCUCAUAAUCUUGGUGUCUUUCUGCAGGUGCUUUGCAGUGUGUUUUUCUAAUUCCUUUCUCCUCACAGCAGCAUCAUGAGUGUAGAGUCUGGAAAAACACACGUGGCUUGCUGCUCCAACUUCAAGGAUGACAUUCUUGGGGUUGAUCACUGGACUCCACUGCCUUUCCAACAUACUCUGGGGAGGCCGCACAGUUGUCAAGAGACAGAAGAAGUUAACAUUGAGGAAUCAGGCUAAAGAAAACGGACCAGAGGGUAACACGGUGGAUAAUGGACACGCCAACAUCAGCAUUGGGAAAAACAAAGAAGACCCAGACAAUGAGAGCAUUAUUUGAGGUGUUUGGGGAAGGCAACACCAUUGUAAUGCCAGUGAACCACACAGACUCUUUGUUGCUGAAGUGCUGUGCUGCAUCCAUAGUGGACCAAAUGUGGUAAUGGUACAGUGUCAGCACUCUAUUGUCUUCGAGCAGUACACCUCUUUUAUUUUUACAAAGAUAUGCUGAAAAUAUCAACUGCUGUUUGUUUACUUUAAAGGUCAAAGCUUAGUUUUACUAUGAACACCCAUCAAAUCACAUUCAGUUAUAUCCACUUCUGCACAAAAACAUAAACUUAGAGGUCAUUUUUAGUUCUACUUAAAAAAAAUCAAGAAAACAAAAUGGGCGCUGUUCACUUGUGAUGAUGUUUACCUAUGAAACUAAUUUCAGGGGAAGUGAAAAGAAAUUUGUAAAAUAUUUGUAAUCCCAUUGGACAGAGUGCAAUUUUUUUUUUGCCACUGAAAAGCUCAAAUUGUUAUAUGCGUCUGACUAUAUUAUGGAAAGGACCAUACAGAGAAACUUCUUUACCUCUUUACCUUUAUGUCUUUGUCUAUGUUGGACAAAGUCAAAAAGCCACCAGCUAAAAGACCCAGCUAUCUUUACUGGAGUUUGUGAAGACCACCAGUGCCAAAUGGACAGUAUUGGACUUACUUUGGUUGGUUGC